rnacentral:rRNA from 1 species
UACGUAGGGUGCGAGCGUUGUCCGGAAUUAUUGGGCGUAAAGAGCUCGUAGGCGGUGUGUCGCGUCGGCCGUGAAAACCUGCAGCUUAACUGUGGGCUUGCGGUCGAUACGGGCAUCACUGGAGUUCGGCAGGGGAGACUGGAAUUCCUGGUGUAGCGGUGAAAUGCGCAGAUAUCAGGAGGAACACCAGUGGCGAAGGCGGCGACCUGGGCCAAUACUGACGCUGAGGUGACGAAAGCGUGGGGAGCGAACAGG